UUACAAGUGAAUUUUCUUUUCUGUUUUAAAGCGUUUUAAAUAAACUUCCACUCCUGUGCUGAAACUUGCCUUGGUCUUUUUUUCUGCUUUAUGCCCCUCAGUCGAAUUCUUUCUUCUGAGGACGCAAGAAUUGAAGUUGCUGCAGACGCCUAUGGAUUCACCACCAGUAAAUCGGAGUAACCACUGGGAACAAUAGGUCGCCUUAGAAGCUUGGCAGGUUGUUUUUGUUUUUUGUUUUUGUUUUUUUGUUUUUGAUACGAGGUCUCACUUUGUCGCCCAGGCUGGAAUGCAGUGGUGCAAUCUCGGCUCUCUGCAGCCUCUGCCUCCCAGGCUCAAGUGAUCCUCCCACUUCAGCCUCCCGAGUACCUGGGACUGCAGGCAUGCACCACCACACCCGGCUAAUUUUUAUUUUUAUAUUGUAUUUUUGGUAGAGUUGGGGUUUCACCAUGUUCCCAGCUGGUCUUUAACUCUUGAGGUGAAGCAAUCCGCCCACCUCAGCCUCCCAAAGUGCUGAGAUUACAGACGUAAGCCAUCGUGCCUAGGCUUGCAAGUCGUUUUUUGCUGAACAGAAAAAGCUAUUAAAAAAUGUUCAGGACUCUUUUAUUUACACAGCAAGCUUACAAAGCCAUCUUUGAUUGACUGAUUCUUUGACAAUGACUAUAUGGAUGACACAGGAAGGAUGCCAUUCUGGCCUUGGAGAGAAAACUUGCAAGGAAAGGAACAUGUUUGAAUUUCAGAUGUGUUCCUCAAUGAAUCAUGAUCUUCAGGGAAUGUUUCAGGUGGAGGAAAGGCCUCUUGGUCAAUGAGCCUGAAGACUGCAUGGCAACCUUUGCCAGCUUUUGGCCUGAAAACUCAACUUGUUCAUUUGAGAUAAUUCCUGUUUUAUAUACUUUCAUUUGAGAUAUUCCUGGUGUAUCAAAUGAAACAAAAUCUAUGAAAUACUGGAUUCACAAAAAUACAUUUUGAAUAUUGAAUGUGGAAA